AGGUCUGGCCUGCUCAGUGAAUUUUUAAAUAGCUGCAGUAUUUUGACUGUACAAAGGUAGCAUAAUCAUUAGUUUUUUAAUUGAAAGCUUGCAUGAAUGGUUUAAUGAGAAAAAUACUGUCUUAAUUAAUUUUUAUAAAAAUUUUAUUUUUAAGUUAAAAAGCUUAAAUUUUUAUAAAAGACGAGAAGACCCUAUAGAGUUUGAUUAUUUAAUUUUUUAAUGUUUUUAGGAAUAUUUACAAGUAUUAAUAUUGAUAUUAAUUUGAUUGGGGUGAUUAUAAAAUUUAGUUAACUUUUAUUUAUAAUGUUCAUUUUUUUAUGAUUAGUUGAUCCAUUGUUUAUGAUUAUUAGAAUAAAUUACCUUAGGGAUAACAGCGUAAUUUCUCUGGAAAGUUCAUAUUGAUAGGGAAGAUUGCGACCUCGAUGUUGGAUUAAAAUUAACUUUUGGUGUAGAAGCUAAUGGGUUAGGUCUGUUCGACCUUUAAAAUUUUACAUGAUCUGAGUUUAAACCGGCGUGAGCCAGGUUGGUUUCUAUCUUUAUAGAUAUAUAGAAUUUUAGUACGAAAGGACCGAGUUUUGAUUACAUUAAUUUUAUUUAGAUUAAUUUUAUUGUUUUGGCAGAUUAGUGCAUUAAAUUUAGAAUUUAAUUAUGUAUUUUAUACAAACAAUACUUGAUUUUUUUUGAUUUGGUGUUAAUAUUAAUUAGUAUGUUAGUUUUAAUUUUAUUUGUUUUAAUUGGAGUU
rnacentral:rRNA from 1 species